GACGAACGCUGGCGGCGUGCUUAACACAUGCAAGUCGAACGGAAGGGCCCUGCUUUUGUGGGGUGCUCGAGUGGCGAACGGGUGAGUAACACGUGAGUAACCUGCCCUUGACUUUGGGAUAACUUCAGGAAACUGGGGCUAAUACCGGAUAGGAGCUCCUGCUGCAUGGUGGGGGUUGGAAAGUUUCGGCGGUUGGGGAUGGACUCGCGGCUUAUCAGCUUGUUGGUGGGGUAGUGGCUUACCAAGGCUUUGACGGGUAGCCGGCCUGAGAGGGUGACCGGCCACAUUGGGACUGAGAUACGGCCCAGACUCCUACGGGAGGCAGCAGUGGGGAAUAUUGCACAAUGGGCGGAAGCCUGAUGCAGCAACGCCGCGUGCGGGAUGACGGCCUUCGGGUUGUAAACCGCUUUCGCCUGUGACGAAGCGUGAGUGACGGUAAUGGGUAAAGAGGCACCGGCUAACUACGUG
rnacentral:rRNA from 1 species